rnacentral:lncRNA from 1 species
CUUCUAAUUGUAAUCUACCUUUUCAGUUUUUCCCAAAAUACUGGCACCAGACUUAGUCCAGUUCAAGUUAUAAGUGUAAUCAUUAGAAAUUUUCAAAUCAAACUAAAAUUUAUUUUUGGUCACUGAAUUUUCAUUUAAAGCUGCGAUCAACAUAUGUUUUGAAAAUGUUGAAAAACCCGCUAUGUUAAUGUGCCUGUCAAAGCCCGGUAUCGCGUCAAUUUUUUUUCGCUAGGCUUGCAAUAAAUAAAGCGUGUCCGAGAAAAUAAGUAAAAAUAAGUUUUUUUACGCAACAUGUGUAGCUACAUGACAAACCCAAAAUGUCAGAUGCGAUAUUUGCCCAUGUCUUUUAAAACCGUUUCAUGUCACGUCACGUCUUGGUUUGAAUUUCCAUCAGAUGUCACAUUUGGCUGGGCAUUUUGUGACAUUGAAUAUGACAAAUUUCAUAGUCAAUAACCAACAACGUC